rnacentral:misc_RNA from 1 species
GAUGAAGAACGUAGCGAAAUGCGAUAAGUAGUGUGAGUUGCAGAAUUCAGUGAAUCAUCGAAUCUUUGAACGCACAUUGCGCCUCCUGGUAUUCCGGGAGGCAUGCCUGUUCGAGCGUCAUUAAAAUCACUCAAGCUUAGGUUUACCUAUUGCUUGGUCUUGGAGAUGGAAGCCAAUUUAUUGGAAUCCUCUUCGAAAUUCAAUGGCGAAGACCCUUGCUCUCCCAAGUGUAGUAAUAACUUAUGUCACUGAAGGAAGCGAGAAAUCUUCUGCCGUAACCCCCAUAUUUUCUAUGAUUGACCUCGGAUCAGGUAGGGAUACCCGCUGAACUUAAGCAUAUCAAUAAGCGGAGGA